rnacentral:rRNA from 1 species
UACGUAGGGUGCAAGCGUUGUCCGGAAUUAUUGGGCGUAAAGAGCUCGUAGGCGGUCUGUCGCGUCGGCUGUGAAAACUCGGGGCUCAACCCCGAGCCUGCAGUCGAUACGGGCAGACUAGAGUGCUGUAGGGAGACUGGAAUUCCUGGUGUAGCGGUGAAAUGCGCAGAUAUCAGGAGGAACACCGGUGGCGAAGGCGGGUCUCUGGGCCGUAACUGACGCUGAGGAGCGAAAGCAUGGGGAGCGAACAGG